GCUAAGCCUCACAUUCGCACACUGAGGCCCAGAAGCCUCAGGCCACACUCUUCCACUGCUGUCUAGGAUAUGAAGGGGGGUGUGUGUAGAGGUGUGCGUAGAUCAGUCUUGAUCCUUGCAGUCCUGGAGCCUGGAGCCUGGUGGCAGAGAGAAAACGUGACUCUCUGUUUCAGUCACUCUGUGAUUGGUGCUCUGAAGGAAAGCAGUCGAACAGGAGCUUGUUGAGGUGACCGGGAUGGCCCGGAGGAUGAGAAGAAGCCAGCCGUGUGCACGGUGGUGGGGAGACUGAGCUGGGCAGCGUUCCUGGGGCAGGAGCCCAAUGGCCAGAGCGGCUGAUGCGCAGUGAGGGGGGAGGGACGGCGCAAUGAUCAGGGAGGGAGAGGCCCACCUGCAGCGCCACCCCCCUGGCCCUCUGGCUCGCCCAGUGCCUUCUCUGUUGGCACGGCUCUGCCACCCCCGAGAUUUAUCGGGUAUCCUUCUCCAGCUUGAGAGCACAAGAUCUGGGUCCGAGUCAUUUCCAGGUCCCCAACCUGGAACACGGGGUCCGGCCUUGAAUCAGACCACAACUGACCAAUGAACAGAGUUGGGCUGCGUGGAGACACCUGCUUUCAGGAGACUGGUGGAGAAACGUCCCUGCCACGAGCAUCCAGCCUUCGAGGUGUGCGGGGAAGUGUGUAAUUGACGGGCAGCCCGACCGAGGCCCUCCUGCGGGACCAAAUUGUAAUCGGCUGCGGCGCUUGGUCACAACAGGGAUUCCUUUUACAUCCUAGUGCGGCCGCGAACCUGGCAAGCUGGUCCCCGCGGUUAUUAAGAAGCCUCCUGACUUCAGCAGGUCGCCUUGGGUCAGUACAGCGGCAUACAUUCUGGCUGCUGGGCUCGGAGUUGGCGAAGACAACCUUGUAGACACAAAUCCCUUUACACUUGGACAUGGAGAAAAGAAUCAAGAUGGAUGGCCCCAGCCCCCCCAGCCUGCUGCACACCUGCCUGCCCCCGCUCCCACGGCCUCGCCUCCUCCCUCCUGGCUGGUUCCUUGGCAAGUUCAUUGCUGUGUUCACCAGAAAGCGAUCAGUGGAGUCUUGCUUCUGGAGAAGUUAAAUGCAGGCCGACAAUUCCUCAGGGGUUCACGGGAUGAAAGGCUGCAAAAGGGGGUUUGGAAGCGCUUCACAGAGGGACCCACGUCUACACAUACGUCAAGAGAACUGUUGUUUGGGGAAAACAAGUUGUAUUGGAGGCUUUGGGAAUUGCAGAGAGGUUUCGCAAGAACUCAGAGGAGCAAAUAAGAAAUAAAAGACACAGCCAACGUUUAUUGAGUGCGUGCUAUGCGGUGGGCUUCAUGUUGAGCCUUUUCAAGUCACUUUUUCAUUGUAUUCUCCGCACCUUAGCGGACUGUCUCCUGUCGUUAACCCGCAGAGGUCAGGUGAUCCUCCUGAGGUCGCCGAAUGAGUAGCAGAGCCAAGACUCAAACUCAGGCCUGCCAGGACCCGGAAGGCCAUGACUUUCAUCUGUGUGCAUGUCACAGGGGACGGGAGAGAGGAAAGGAGCACAGGCACACACAUCCAUGGGGCAGCAGCGAUAGCGACACAGGACGACAGAGCCAGGAGCUCUGGACUCCCAUCCAAACCCCGUCACCGGCAACCUGGGACCCUGCAAAUGCCUCUUUGCCGCUCUGGGCCUCAGUCUUCUCUCCGGUGAGAUGUCAGGUUCGAAGGAGAAGCCCCCUCGGGCCCAAGUUUGUAAUGCUCUCCUCUUCCUGGUCCACAGGUGAGAAGACUUCGGCUCCAGAACAGGGCCACUGGAUGUCGUGGCCAAUCUGGCCCAACCCGUCACAGGGACCUUGAAGCCCCUCUGCAACGUGCCCAGGGACUCCAGGCCCUGCUCGCAAGAUGGAAACGGACGAGGCCCAAGGCUGCUUGCGCAUACUUACCGAGUGAAAGUAAUAUCUUGAGCGUGACUUCCCUGAGUCUUCGCCACGGGCCCCCGGCUAGCAGCGGCCCAAGCUCCCCUUCGGUGCUGAAUUUCCCUCACCGGUGCCGCCAGUGAGCCUUCCAACGGCCAGACACGUGACUCUCUCUGUCCGGGGGGGGGGGGGGGGGGGGCGGGGGGAAUCCGGGAAGACUUGACUCCAUUUGAUGGAAAGCAACUUCCUUCUAGCAGUAGGAAGUUAGAGGAAGAGCAGAGCCGGGUAAGACAGACAGCAAGCAGUACGGGGGCCGGUAGGCCUGCUCAGCAUUGCUGAGCACUUACCGGCUGUGUGUGGCUCCAGACAAAACCCCUUAUGUCCACACAUCUUGGUUUUCUUCUCUGGGUAAAGAGAUGCAGACAUUCGGCCCGUUGAGAUCAAAGCGCCAGACGGGAAGGGGGUGUGUGUGCUCAGGGCUGCUUACUACUCCAUUAUCUCUGGAAGAAUAACCGAGAUAAUGAGGUGACGGGACGGCAGGAGGGGAGGGGGGGUGAGCCCAGCGCUGCCUCUGACCACAGCGUGGAAUGUGGCGCGGCCUCCCAAAAAGCCGCGUGUCAGUUCACCUGGAGGGGCUCCUGAGUCCACAGAGAAGCGUAUACAACAUGAUCCAAUGUUACAAAAGCAAGAGCAACGAGAAGGUAUACUACUAUACGAUGACGCGGGCACCGAGGGAGGUGUGCGGGGGAUGCACUUCAGAUUACGAGCAGGAGUUGCUCGGAGUCUGGGGAUGCAUUGCAAGGUGAGGUCAAGAGGAGGGUAAAAAGCAGAGAGGUGGGGAGGGGAGAUGAUAAGCAAAAGGGGAAAAAAGCGAGUUAGGGUACCCGCAGCAAAUGAGGACGUUGGCGGUGGCAUUGGCAUGCCAAUGUAUUGCGCAAAAAGUGGAUAAAAGAACGUUCAGUGAAAUGUGACUCCCCUAGAAAGAACGCCGAUUAAUUCCUGUCUCAGAGGGUGCUUCUGAGGCUCAGGUGACGUCAUCGCGUGCCAGGAUAAGAGAACCAUCAGAAGUCGCAUCUCAAGAGGAGCUCCGAGACUCGAAUUCUGUUCCGCCAGCACCCGGGCCGGCGUUCUGCCUUUUUGCAGCCACCUCACUACGUCACCACGAACCAGCCGUAGUCCAGAGACUGACUUGUUGAACACGGAACGUUGAUUAUGGCUCAUUCUCUCAGACUAAGAGCAGGAAUCAAAACAGAUGACAGUCCCCUCACUUUGGGUGGGAGAGGUUCACCCAGUCAAGCACGAGUGCUGUAAUCAUGAUGUCAAAGCAGCAAUCACGUUUCAGUUUAAAAAUAACGGGAAAUGCCCACUUGAACUAAGUAUGUGAGGCGCGCGAGGCUAGCGGGUGGUACCAGUGGAUGAUAUUUGACAUUAACCCAUGGCCGGACACGUGAACCCGUGUUCAUGAGAGCCAGGAGACAGCUGGCUCCAUGCAGGGGGAUCACACCACGCGAAGCGUUUUGCAUGCAUUAUCUCAACUAAUACUGCCAGGAGCUCCACUUAAGUUCCUUACUUAGCAGAUCCGGAAACCGGGGGUCAGUGAGGUGAGGCGACUUGCUCAAGGUUCCAUGGCUGGGGUACGGGCAGGACCAGGAUUAAAAUCCGGGGCAGCUCGACUCCGGGACCCACACUUUUAAUCCUACACUACCAUAGUACGGCUCCGGGCUGGGAGAUUUUUCAGGCUUUAUUCAUCUCGUGUGCUGUGUGUGUCCGCAGUGAUCGAACACAGCUUUCCAAGCCACGAGUGGUGGCUUAAUUACGGUGCACUCUUCAUAUUGUUGAAAUGUGACAUCCCUCAGCGUAUUCAUCUGCAAUGGGAGAUGACUCACAGGUGUAAUUUGUGUGUCCUUUGGUGUGUUAUUAACGUGUGCUCUCAACGGAGGUUUAAUUUUGGAAGUGGCUUUCGAGAUCAUGGUGGAGGCUUGACAGAUAAGUAGAACACCCCCCCUCGAAAUGAGAAGCGCCCUGCUGUUCUCGCAAAGGUCACGGGUGACCCCCGAGACCCCAACCCGGUGGCCUGGUCUCAACCUGCUCCCUCCUCUGCUUUGCUGCACGUGGGACACUGUUUCUGUCCCCUCCCCGUUGCUAUCGCUUCUUCUCCCACCGUGGGUCCGUGGUGGACAGCCGCUUGACGAGUUGAAAAUAGGGACUAAUACACCUUCUGAAGUUUUUUUCUUCAGGCUGAGCUUCUGUAAUUCCUUGUGUCAUUGGGAUGCUGUCUGAGGAUAUUCAAAGUUGUCAGCUGCCCUCGUAAAUCUUGGGGCUGAGAACUGAACACGAGACUCAGGCAAGAUGUGACUAGGAAAGCCCUGGAGAUCAGACUUUAACCUUCUCUGUCCCACACACUCUACUUCUGUUAAUGCAACCCCAAAGAGCUUCUUGCCAGUAAGAGUGCUGAUGCUGGCUGAGCGGCUGCCGAACAAAACUUCUCUCUUUUCUCCGGCUGCUCCCUGGACAGGGCUCUGUCACUCUACACUUACACAAUAGAGGUACCUUAGCGCCACUGCAGAAGCUUCCUCUCCGCAUUAUGGUUUUUGUGCCUUGUGAGCUUUGUUGCAUCCCCAUGGCCCACUGAGAGCUUUUGGAUUAGAAUUCUCCCAUCCACCUCAUUUGUCAUCCUCCACCCCCCCCCCCCCACCACCCGGUUCAGUGGCAUCCACAGACUUGAUAAGAAGCUUUCUAUGCCUUCAUUCAAGUAUUCACAAAAUUUGUUUUAACAGGAGAGAGCCAAGGACAAAGCCUUAUCUCGGGCCCCUGGAGAGCUCCUUAAGUGACAAGCUGAACAGGAAUGAAUUAAUCAGCAAGCUCUGGGCAUGGUUCUUGAAGUGGUUACAAGUCCACCUUCCUCACUGUAUUAUUACCCUAGCUAGAGUUUUUCACGUUGCCCAAGAGGAUAGCAUAAAAACUUUAUUAUAUGGUGUGCCCAAUUGCACUGUCCUGAUCUACCUAAUGAUUGCAAACACUCCCCCAAAAAAGGAAAGAAGGAAGGCGGGAAGGCAGGGAAGGAGGGAUGGAGGGAGGGAGAGAGGAAAAAGAAAUCAGAUUGCUUUGCUAGGAUUCAUUUUAAAAGGGACAUGCUGUUUGUUAGGAAUCAACUUGAACUCCUAGACCGCCUUUCCUGACAACCAUCCCUUUCGUUGCUACAUUGUUUAGGAACAGCCUUGGCCUUGGGCCUUUAAGCCUUUCCUUCAUGUUAGUUUUGAAAAUGGUUGCUCAUUUUCAUUCAUGCCUCCAAUGUUUUCAGAGCCCUGCUCUCUGUCUGGCACCGGGCUAGCAUUCAGGGCCCAAAGUGUGGGAAACCCACCGACCUGCAUCAAGGCCCUCGGUGCCUUCACUUCGCCCAGAUUUGACAACUCCUUCAAUAUCUCCGGCCACGGAUGGGUGACCCCAUGUUCAAGUACUCUUUUUGCCCAAUGCCCAGAAGUCCGGAAGUAAUUGAGAACUGUCAGGUGGGCUCUUCCUCUCUCCCCCGAACCCUGAGGUUUCCCCUUCAGGCCAAAGCACAUGGUCUCUUAGCUGGAAAGACAAAGGUCUGUUCCCAUCACCACAGCUGUGUUAUCUUACUGGGUCUGGGGAACUUAAUUUCUUCCUCAUCCUUCGAGCUUGGGGUAUGACUUUGAAAGUUCGUUUCCCCCCGAUCUCAAUCUGCUCUGGGCUGCGGCCCUUCAGACCCUAGAGCAUCACGACUACUUGACUUCCAGCAACUGAGAACCAAAGGCAAACCAGCUUCACACAACAAGGAAUGUAUCAGCUCAAGCAGUUGAACGGUCUGAGGACAGGCGAGGCUUCGGGAAUUGUCGCGAUCAGGGGUUCAAGCAACAUCAUUAGCACCUCGUCAGUGUCUCUGUCUCUCUCACGGUGCCCGUGGCUUUGUUCUCAGAGGGCAUCUUUGGCCUCUGAGAAGCUCGACUUUCUCAUCACUGCUGCAGAAUACAAAAAGAGAAGUAUCCUUCUGGAGCAUGUAAUUAAAGGCCUGGGGUGAGCAGCGAUUGGAGCCUGGGCUGUGUUCACACGCCCACCCUGACCAAUCACCAUCGCACGAUAGUGCUGUGCUCAGACUGACCAGGAAAAGCCCUACGUUAGAGCUCGAGUUAGAGGCAGCUCCGCCUGACCCAGAAACUGAGCGCGGGCAGGUGUCCAGAGGAACGUGUGGGAAUGUGGGUAAGGGGCUCCGUACCAUUGGAAGAAAGGGAGACAAAUGCUGAAAUGUUAAAAAAAAAAAAAAUGCCUGGAAGAGUUCCUCAAUUGCUCGCAAGGUACUCGGCACAAAGAACCUGCUCGAUAAACCUUGGUUGAAUGACUUGAAAAACCCUGGCCUCACUUGUGUUCUUGCAUGUCCGUCUUUCUCUGAGGUCCUCACCAGUGGGAGGUUGAUGCUUGUGGUUGUCUACGUAGGAACUCUUCUCCCUUGGGGCACCUGGGUGGCUCAGUCGGUUAAGCGUCCGACUUCGGCUCACAUCAGCA